UGGGGAAUAUUGGACAAUGGGGGCAACCCUGAUCCAGCAAUGCCGCGUGAGUGAAGAAGGUCUUCGGAUUGUAAAGCUCUUUCACGGGUGAAGAUAAUGACGGUAACCCGAGAAGAAGCCCCGGCUAACUUCGUGCCAGCAGCCGCGGUAAUACGAAGGGGGCUAGCGUUGUUCGGAAUUACUGGGCGUAAAGGGCGCGUAGGCGGUUUAUCAAGUUAGGUGUGAAAGCCCUGGGCUCAACCCAGGAACUGCAUUUAAGACUGAUAGGCUAGAGAUCUAGAGGGGAUAGUGGAAUUCCAAGUGUAGAGGUGAAAUUCGUAGAUAUUUGGAGGAACACCAGUGGCGAAGGCGACUGUCUGGCUAGAAUCUGACGCUGAGGCGCGAUAGCGUGGGGAGCAAACAGGAUUAGAUACCCGAGUAGUCCCUGAGCGGGCUGGCAAGGCGCAU
rnacentral:rRNA from 1 species